AUUGAACGCUGGCGGCAGGCCUAACACACGCAAGUCGAACGGUAACAGGAAUCAGCUUGCUGAUUCGCUGACGAGUGGCGGACGGGUGAGUAAUGUCUGGGAAACUGCCUGAUGGAGGGGGAUAACUACUGGAAACGGUAGCUAAUACCGCAUAACGUCGCAAGACCAAAGAGGGGGACCUUCGGGCCUCUUGCCAUCGGAUGUGCCCAGAUGGGAUUAGCUAGUAGGUGGGGUAAUGGCUCACCUAGGCGACGAUCCCUAGCUGGGCUGAGAGGAUGACCAGCCACACUGGAACUGAGACACGGUCCAGACUCCUACGGGAGUCAGCAGUGGGGAAUAUUGCACAAUGGGCGCAAGCCUGAUGCAGCCAUGCCGCGUGUAUGAAGAAGGCCUUCGGGUUGUAAAGUACUUUCAGCGAGGAGGAAGGUGUUGAGGUUAAUAACCUUAGCAAUUGACGUUACUCGCAGAAGAAGCACCGGCUAACUCCGUGCCAGCCGCCGCCGUAA
rnacentral:rRNA from 1 species